rnacentral:rRNA from 1 species
AGGACGAACGCUGGCGGCGUGCUUAACACAUGCAAGUCGAGCGGAAAGGCCCUUUUGGGGGUACUCGAGCGGCGAACGGGUGAGUAACACGUGAGUAACCUGCCCUGGACUUUGGGAUAACCCUCGGAAACGGGGGCUAAUACCGGAUAUGACUUGGCCUCGCAUGGGGUUGGGUGGAAAGUUUUUCGGUCUGGGAUGGGCUCGCGGCCUAUCAGCUUGUUGGUGGGGUGAUGGCCUACCAAGGCGACGACGGGUAGCCGGCCUGAGAGGGCGACCGGCCACGACUGGGACUGAGACACGGCCCAGACUCCUACGGGAGGCAGCAGUGGGGAAUAUUGCACAAUGGGCGGAAGCCUGAUGCAGCGACGCCGCGUGAGGGAUGACGGCCUUCGGGUUGUAAACCUCUUUCAGCACCGACGAAGCGAGAGUGACGGUAGGUGCAGAAGAAGCGCCGGCAACUACGUGCCAGCAGCCGC